GGCCUUAUAGCUCAGUGGUAGAGCAUACGAUUGCAGAUCGUGCGGUCCCGUGUUCGAACCACGGUGGGGCCU
rnacentral:tRNA from 2 species